rnacentral:tRNA from 1 species
CAGGGAGACAACAAAAUGUUUAAUAUUAUUAUUUUGUCACCUUAGGUCGAUCGGUAUCUCACGUUCUUAAUUUGUUAAGAAUUUCAUUUCCUAAGUUUUUCUAGGUCACACCCAUUAUUUUUCCUGGGCCAUUAGCUCAGGUGGUUAGAGCGCACCCCUGAUAAGGGUGAGGUCCCUGGUUCAAGUCCAGGAUGGCCCAUAUCUCUAUGUUGGGGGUAUAGCUCAGUUGGUAGAGCGCCUGCUUUGCAAGCAGGAUGUCAGCGGUUCGAGUCCGCUUACCUCCACUGAUUACCACCUCUUCCAUAACCGGUAGAAAGGAAACGUUUUGAGUCGUGAUCAUUAUUCUGAACGAAUCUAGCUUCCUAAUGAAAUCACUAAGAUGCUGGACUCAUUGAAUUAAUUUCAUUGUUUUCAGAGAACCUUGACAACUGCAUAGAUUAUUUUUAAAGACGAUAAGCAUCUUUAUGAUGCAGAUUUAUUAUUUGUGCGAAUGCAUUAAUAACAAUUCUAUUAAGCUGAUGCUUCAAUAUUUGAAGUUAUU